GUAAGUAAAUGUUAGGGCCUUGUUGCCUGACGCUGCAAUAUGGUAUACUCACAACAGAGUCAGUGAUGGUGUAGGUGCUGGUAGUCUGUUUGUCGUCCUCGCGGUAGUGCGUGACGCGACGCACUCUCAACUGGCCGCGCUCGCCAAAC